rnacentral:rRNA from 1 species
GCCGAACGCUGGCGGCGUGCCUAAUACAUGCAAGUAGAACGCAGAUGAGAAAGGGAGAGUGACGCGUAGGUAACUGGCUGGUAGCAGGGGAUAACUAUUGGGAACGAGAGAUAAUAACGCAUACUACCAGAUGGAACUGCGUUGUAUUCGGUGGUUGGUGGGGUAACGGCUCACCAAGGCAAAGAUACAUAGCCGACCUGAGAGGGUGAUCGGCCACACUGGGACUGGGACACGGCCCAGACUCCUACGGGAGGCAGCAGUAGGGAAUCUUCGGCAAUGGACGGAAGUCUGACCGAGCAACGCCGCGUGAGUGAAGAAGGUUUUCGGAUCGUAAAGCUCUGUUGUAAGAGAAGCGGUAUCUUACCAGAAAGGGACGGCUAACUACGUGCCAGCCGCCGCGGUAAUAC